CGCUUUCACUCCUACGGGAGGCAGCAGUAGGGAAUCUUCCACAAUGGACGAAAGUCUGAUGGAGCAACGCCGCGUGAACGAUGAAGGCCUUCGGGUCGUAAAGUUCUGUUGUAAGGGAAGAACAAGUGCCGCAGGCAAUGGCGGCACCUUGACGGUACCUUGCGAGAAAGCCACGGCUAACUACGUGCCAGCAGCCGCGGUAAUACGUAGGUGGCAAGCGUUGUCCGGAAUUAUUGGGCGUAAAGCGCGCGCAGGCGGCCUCUUAAGUCUGAUGUGAAAGCCCCCCGGCUCAACCGGGGAGGGCCAUUGGAAACUGGGAGGCUUGAGUAUAGGAGAGAAGAGUGGAAUUCCACGUGUAGCGGUGAAAUGCGUAGAGAUGUGGAGGAACACCAGUGGCGAAGGCGACUCUUUGGCCUAUAACUGACGCUGAGGCGCGAAAGCGUGGGGAGCAAACAGGAUUAGAUACCCUGGUAG
rnacentral:rRNA from 1 species